rnacentral:rRNA from 1 species
CUACGUAGGGUGCGAGCGUUGUCCGGAAUUACUGGGCGUAAAGAGCUCGUAGGUGGUUUGUCGCGUCGUCUGUGAAAUUCCGGGGCUUAACUCCGGGCGUGUAGGCGAUACGGGCAUAACUUGAGUACUGUAGGGGAGACUGGAAUUCCUGGUGUAGCGGUGAAAUGCGCAGAUAUCAGGAGGAACACCGGUGGCGAAGGCGGGUCUCUGGGCAGUAACUGACGCUGAGGAGCGAAAGCAUGGGUAGCGAACAGGAUUAGAUACCCUGGUAGUCCAUGCCGUAAACGGUGGGCGCUAGGUGUAGGGGUCUUCCACGACUUCUGUGCCGUAGCUAACGCAUUAAGCGCCCCGCCUGGGGAGUACGGCCGCAAGGCUAAAACUCAAAUGAAUUGACGGGG